rnacentral:lncRNA from 1 species
AAGUUGUAAAAAAAAAAAAAUUUCUUUUUUUUCGGUUUUCACUUAUUCCUGUAUUAUAUGAAUAAAUAAUUAUUUACUAUCAUGAUUUAUUAUGUACUAUAGCCAUUCAUUAGAUUAUCUUCUUAAAAAUAGUUUUUUAGGUGCUUAGUUGGUUAUUGGGUUUCUGUUGUUAUUCUUGUUUUUGUGCUGGACAUUGAACUCAGAUCUUCACACAGGCUAAGCAUGUACCACUCAUAAAGUCUACAGCAUUAUAGAGUAGUGUUCUAGGACUUCACAUUCAAUCACCACUCUCAGAACAAAUUCCAAUCCUGCCAGUUUUCAUGUAAAAGUGUACCAUUUUUUUAAAUCUUGUAUUCUGUAGUUUUUACUCUGCCUUUUCUAUGUUUAGAAGAACGAGUAUAUACCAUUGUAAUCUGUUUGUCUACAAUAGCCAGGAAAGUAACGUACUAUACAGAUUUGUAACCUAGAAGCAAAAGCCUAUAACAUUCAGCUUAGGUGUAUAGAAGGCUAUGCCAUCUGGAUUUGUUGAAGCACAGUCUAUGAGGUUUGCAUAAAUAGCCUAACAAGGCAUUUCUUGGCAUACAUCCUGGUUGUUAAACAGUACCUUCAAACAAGAUUCUGUAUUUUAAAAGCAGAAUCUUGUUUGAAGCUAAUGGAAAAGAAAUAAGAUCAGAAGAAUCAUCAGACUAGGACUGCUGUUCCCCUGUAAGCAUUUGAUGAUUUUGGUGGGGUGGCUGGAAUCACUUAUGGCAGCUUUAUAGGGUCACAGAAAUUGGAGUGCACUGUCAUUAUGAGUGACUAUCAUCAUUUUAGGUCCCCACAGUAAUAUAGUCUAAGAUAAACCAAUAGAAGAUAAGCUUUUAUAUUGAUUGUAAUUCGCCUUCAUAUCAUAUCAGUCCCUG